UUUAUGGAGAGUUUGAUCCUGGCUCAGGAUGAACGCUGGCGGCGUGCCUAAUACAUGCAAGUCGAGCGAACGGACGAGAAGCUUGCUUCUCUGAUGUUAGCGGCGGACGGGUGAGUAACACGUGGAUAACCUACCUAUAAGACUGGGAUAACUUCGGGAAACCGGAGCUAAUACCGGAUAAUAUUUUGAACCGCAUGGUUCAAAAGUGAAAGACGGUCUUGCUGUCACUUAUAGAUGGAUCCGCGCUGCAUUAGCUAGUUGGUAAGGUAACGGCUUACCAAGGCAACGAUGCAUAGCCGACCUGAGAGGGUGAUCGGCCACACUGGAACUGAGACACGGUCCAGACUCCUACGGGAGGCAGCAGUAGGGAAUCUUCCGCAAUGGGCGAAAGCCUGACGGAGCAACGCCGCGUGAGUGAUGAAGGUCUUCGGAUCGUAAAACUCUGUUAUUAGGGAAGAACAUAUGUGUAAGUAACUGUGCACAUCUUGACGGUACCUAAUCAGAAAGCCACGGCUAACUACGUGCCAGCAGCCGCGGUAAUACGUAGGUGGCAAGCGUUAUCCGGAAUUAUUGGGCGUAAAGCGCGCGUAGGCGGUUUUUUAAGUCUGAUGUGAAAGCCCACGGCUCAACCGUGGAGGGUCAUUGGAAACUGGAAAACUUGAGUGCAGAAGAGGAAAGUGGAAUUCCAUGUGUAGCGGUGAAAUGCGCAGAGAUAUGGAGGAACACCAGUGGCGAAGGCGACUUUCUGGUCUGUAACUGACGCUGAUGUGCGAAAGCGUGGGGAUCAAACAGGAUUAGAUACCCUGGUAGUCCACGCCGUAAACGAUGAGUGCUAAGUGUUAGGGGGUUUCCGCCCCUUAGUGCUGCAGCUAACGCAUUAAGCACUCCGCCUGGGGAGUACGACCGCAAGGUUGAAACUCAAAGGAAUUGACGGGGACCCGCACAAGCGGUGGAGCAUGUGGUUUAAUUCGAAGCAACGCGAAGAACCUUACCAAAUCUUGACAUCCUUUGACAACUCUAGAGAUAGAGCUUUCCCCUUCGGGGGACAAAGUGACAGGUGGUGCAUGGUUGUCGUCAGCUCGUGUCGUGAGAUGUUGGGUUAAGUCCCGCAACGAGCGCA
rnacentral:rRNA from 1 species